AGGAGCCUAUAGCCCAUAGCCCAUUUACUACUCGUAUUAGGGUUUCACUCUUUAGCCGUCAAUUCUUGCCCUCCCCCUCUUUAUCUUCUCUCCUCUUUCAUUUCCCUUCAUUUGCAAUCUUUUACUCACUCAAUCUCUCUUUGCUGCCGUUACUCAGUCUCCCUUUGUCGCCAUCACCAUUGUUUCUUAUUUUUCUAUUUAAAUUCCUCAAUUUUUUCGUUGCUUUACUCUUAAAUUAAUUUUGUAAUUUCAUGGGUAAUGGGUUUUGUGGGUUUGUGAGGGUGGUGUUCAUGGCCAGAUCUGGGUUUCUGGCUUCGUGGGUGUGAAUUACGUCGUGGAAUCUGGGUUCUUGGUUGUGGGAUGGUUGUUGGGCACUAUGCUUUACUGUGGCAAAGUUACUCUUUAAUGGCGCCUCUUCCUUCCCCAAUCACUACUUGCCUUCCUCUACCAGCAUAUUCAGUAUGAUUCCUCACAAGACAAAGAGGGGAGCUGCAUCAUUGGCAAGGUUGAAGGUGUAUGAGGGAGUUCCCCCACCUUAUGACAAAAUAAAGAGGGUUGUUGUUCCCGACACUCUCAAGGUGUUGAGGCUUCAAAAGGGUCACAAAUACUGCUUGCUUGGCCGUCUAUCAAUAGAAGUCAGCUGGAGCCACUACAACACCAUCAGGGUACGCAUAUUUUUUAUUAGCUUCUGUCAUUGUUUAUCUUUACUUAUUUUCUUGUUUAACCUCAUUUAAAUUGGGUUUUUUUUUGGCUCAUGUUUAGUUACUUAUCAUGUUAUAAUUGUGGUGCUUUAUUAUACUUGGUUGAUACAUAGAUUUCAAUUAGUUUCUAUUGUGGACUACAUUCAUUAGUUUAUAAUAGUCCUAUUACGAUCCAAAAAUUAUAGGUGUAUGUUUGACUUUUACCGAGGCUCUCUAGGUUUGAAUGAGUUUCCCCUUCAAGUACUUUCCUUAGCUUGAUAAGAGCUGCCAGCUCUGGUUUGCAUCUAGUGGUUUGACUUCAUAUGAAAAAGAAAUUGUUUGCUGUACAUCUGCUUGUGGCACUCGACUGGUUAUGAAUUCAUCAGUUUUCAAAAGCCAAAUUGUUUGAAUCAGAUAACCUCAGAGUCUUGAAGAAUGCAGAGAUACAUCUAGGAAAAUUGCUUGAAGUGGAGCAAUGAAGCAAUGGUCUGGUAAAGGUGUCAUUGUGUCAUAACAAAAUUGAGGAGAUUCCAAGUGGUAUGGCAUCUUUGACCCCAGAAUUUACUAUGCUGAUGCUCAAUAAUAAUCCUCUUAACAAAGAUCCCUGAAUCAUUCUUGAUGAACAUGCGAGCCCAAGUGGUAAAGUUUUGGAGACUACUAUAAACAGGAGGACUAGCAGUGGAGUUGGUAAUAGAUCAAGUAGGUCGACCAGAUCGGAAGAUGAAGUGUUUACUGAUGCUGUCACAAAAUUUGAGAUUAAAGUUGCACUAACUUGAAAAAUUGGUGGAAGAUGUAAAUGAUUUAACAUUAAUUUAGUGGAAAAUCAUUUAAAUCUCUUAUUGCCAUUGAGAUUUUCUUUUGCUCUGUUUUUUUUUUUAGUUUUAGUUACUAGAGGAUAAUAAAUGUAUUUUUUUUUUAUUUUUAUUAUUGUAUAAAUAUGAAGCACUAUUUUUAUCUCAAUUAAUUAAUAAAAUAAUUGUGCUAUAAUUAUUAUGCAAGCUA